CUUAAGUAAGCAUGUCAAGGGCAGUCAGUAGAUAUUGGUACUGUCUGGAAGGCUGUGAUGGCUUCUAGUCGGUCCUGCGCAAGGAAACCAAGGAAUCCUUUCCCAUGAGAACCAAGGAGCCUUUGCAGAGUGUACAGCAGGUGCUGCCAGAGGCACAGGUACUCCCCUUUCUCUGCUUCUCAUGUGAGGAUUCUGGUGGCCUUCUGCAUCUUACAGGCUUAAGCUGCAGGUUUGAGGGUCGCUGUACCUGAGUACACAGCACCUAUUUCACAGCAGAUAUAUGCCCUUUACCCUCUUCAGAAAACAACUAGAGAUCUCCUCACUUUGUAGCACCUGAAUCACAUUAUUACAGGUAUAAAAUGCCAGAAGUAUAUCAUAGCAACUUCAAAUAUAUAUUUCCUAAAUAUUGCAGGAAAAAAAAAAUUUCCAAAUUCUGUAUGAAGAAAACUGCAAACACAGAGUAAGUACCCUAAACAGGGUCAAGGAAAACCAGGGCUAGGAAUUCCAGUGCAUUUGUCAGCCUGUGCCACCCGAGGUUGGGGAGCCAGGGCGCGGGGCUGUCGGCAGGGGAUUUCAGCCACACGCUGCAGCACUUCCACACUUCCUUUGUCUGGAUGCUAAAACCGAGCCAGACCCGCCGGACAGAUGUUGAGAAACAACCGUAAGUCGCCACUUUCUGCAGCCUGCUUUGCUUCCCAGCUUUAAAUCAUGCCCAGUGUCAUGAACCUCCUACAUCCCACAGCCACGGGAAGAGG